GGAGGACUGGCCGAGCGGUCGAAGGCGGGUGACUUGAAAUCACUUAGGGCGACGAGCCCUCGGGGGUUCGAAUCCCUCGUCCUCCGCCA
rnacentral:tRNA from 1 species